CCGUACAAGAAGAUUAAUAUUGGCGUUUCUUUCAUCUAAGAAGUGGGUUCUCUCAAAAUUUCGGUCGACAAAUCAUUCAAGCUAUCCAGCCCGCAGAAAUGGAUGAAAUGCCAUUUCACUGGUUCUCAUCGUUGGAGAAUGCUCACCAAACUAAGCACAUUGUUUGGUGGAGACCCGACUUCACCAUGUGAUCAACUUGAUUGACGAAUCAAUCAAAGUGUCCACUAUAUAGUAACUCUACACACGUCCAACUUUUCUGUCCCAUUGCUAGACUUGUCUGUUAAAUUUUUUCAAGCUUCAUCAGUUAUUCUGUAUUCUGAGAUUUAAGUUAUAAAUUAUGUAUUCUAAGUUCUAAAUUCUGAAUUUCGGAAUUCCAAUGGUUGGUUGAGAAUUCAAAUGGUCAGUGACAUUUUCCUAUAAAUAAGAGCUAUAAAUUGUAAACAUAAAUAAUU
rnacentral:lncRNA from 1 species